rnacentral:rRNA from 1 species
AGAGUUUGAUCCUGGCUCAGGACGAACGCUGGCGGCGUGCUUAACACAUGCAAGUCGAGCGGAAAGGCCCUUCGGGGUACUCGAGCGGCGAACGGGUGAGUAACACGUGAGCAACCUGCCCCUGGCUCUGGGAUAGCUCCGGGAAACCGGGAUUAAUACCGGAUAUGACCUGCUUACGCAUGUUUGCGGGUGGAAAGUUU